AUUGGUCAUUUUCCUAAGGAAAAAGGAUUGGGUGUCGAGUGAAUAAUAUCGAAAUCUAAGGGGCCAAAAUAAACAUUACGAGCUUCUUCAAACCCAGGGUUUUUCUCCGCCAUUUUUUCCCUUGCCAGAAUUCGCAGUUCUCGGUGUGUUCAACAAUGGCGGAAACAAUUAGCGGAGCUCUCCGUGAUGGAGCAUUUGAAGGAGAACACGCUUCCGCUCUAAGUAUAAAGGAUACUAUCCACACACCUUUCGGUUCCUUCGUCUUCAACCAUGUUCUUACGCAACUCAUUUCCAACAUUCUCGCGGAGGUGUUGUGCUGGUCGCUUUAUCUCGGCCUCCAUCAUUCUAUGCUGAACUGUUGAAAAUUAAAGGUUUCGACGUUCCUUCAUCAAGUCAAUAGUUAGAAUCUUCCUUUUUUAUAGUGAGUAAUUUUUACUACUAUUAUUAUUAGAAUAGAAUCAAAUGCGUGAUUUUUUCAAUUAUACUGAAAUUUGCUCAGGUAAGAGUGUUAGAUUGCUAUUCGGAUCCUCUUGGAUGGAAAAACAAGUUGAUGGAGAGAAGAACGGUAAAAAAUCCGUAUGAAGAGACCUUAUUGAAAACGAGUUUAUGUAAAAACUUGAAAGAACUGGACAAGGUUUUGUCUUCGAUUGUUGAACUUGGAAAAGAAACUGCUCAUGAAUAGGGAAAGGGGAGAUUUGCAGUUGCAAUUGACUCGGUAAUGCCAGUUUUGGUUCAGUGAGCCGAGAGUGGAUGUUGCUUAUGUGACGUUUGGUUGAAUUUCACAUCUGGAUAAUGUAAUUUGUCGCGAAGAUGUGUAUGUGUAGUGAUCACUAGACAGUGAUCAACCAAAACGUAGUUUGUCCUUAGUUUUGGUUAAGGAAGCUUCUUCAUCGUGUAGAAAUUUUGGUACUGCAUUCACGUUGAAGGUUCUCUUCUCUUAGUACUGCAAAA